rnacentral:rRNA from 1 species
CCUACGGGAGGCAGCAGUGGGGAAUCUUGCGCAAUGGGGGAAACCCUGACGCAGCGACGCCGCGUGGAGGAUGAAGGUCUUCGGGUUGUAAACUCCUUUUCUUGGGGAAAAUGAUGAUGGUACUCAAGGAAUAAGCCACGGCUAACUCUGUGCCAGCAGCCGCGGUAAGACAGAGGUGGCGAGCGUUGUUCGGAAUUACUGGGCUUAAAGGGCGAGUAGGCGGUAGAGCAAGUCUGAGGUGGAAUCCUAUGGCUUAACCAUAGAACUGCCUUAGAAACUGCUUUACUUGAGUCAGUGAGGGGAGGGCGGAAUUCCCGGUGUAGUGGUGAAAUGCGUAGAUAUCGGGAGGAACACCAGUGGCGAAGGCGAUCUUCUGGACUGUUUCUGACGCUCAGACGCGAAAGCUAGGGUAGUAAACGGGAUUAGAGACCCCGGUAAUCCUAGCCGUAAACGAUGUGAACUUGGCGUCGGUAGCUUAAACACUAUCGGUGCCGUAGCAAACGCGAUAAGUUCACCGCCUGGGGACUACGAUUGCAAGAUUAAAACUUAAAGGAAUUGACGG